rnacentral:rRNA from 1 species
UAGCCAUGCAUGUCUAGUAUAAGCAAUUAUACCGUGAAACUGCGAAUGGCUCAUUAAAUCAGUUAUCGUUUAUUUGAUAGUACCUUACUACUUGGAUAACCGUGGUAAUUCUAGAGCUAAUACAUGCUAAAAACCCCAACUUCGGAAGGGGUGUAUUUAUUAGAUAAAAAACCAAUGCCCUUCGGGGCUCCUUGGUGAUUCAUAAUAACUUAACGGAUCGCAUGGCCUUGCGCCGGCGACGGUUCAUUCAAAUUUCUGCCCUAUCAACUUUCGAUGGUAAGGUAUUGGCUUACCAUGGUUUCAACGGGUAACGGGGAAUUAGGGUUCGACUCCGGAGAGGGAGCCUGAGAAACGGCUACCACAUCCAAGGAAGGCAGCAGGCGCGCAAAUUACCCAAUCCCGACACGGGGAGGUAGUGACAAUAAAUACUGAUACAGGGCUCUUUCGGGUCUUGUAAUUGGAAUGAGUACAAUUUAAAUCCCUUAACGAGGAACAAUUGGAGGGCAAGUCUGGUGAAUUCUCAGUUUUUGCUGACGCCAGAGAUAGUAGGGCCUUUGGCGGCUUUAGCUGCUAGAGGUUAUGCCUGCUAGUCGAGUAUUCACAACAGCGGUGGGUGAAUGCCGGCAAGGUGACCUGGUACGGGGAAGCCUAAGGGUGUUUACACCUAUGGUAAUCCCGUGGCGAGUCUUUCUGAAAAGAAAGGCCGUCGUAACGCGCGGAAAGGCACCGGCUUGUUGUAUUUAGUAAUGCAGCGGCUCAAGGGACGUGCUGACCCAUCUGAAAGGAUGUUUUUAACUGGAGCACCCACCGUGUAAAGGUUAAAAAGGGUCUCUGCCAGUGGCAGAGACUUGGGAGUGUUUAAGUGGCUUUUUGGGCGCCACGUAAACGCAUUUAACUCGGCCAGCAGCCGCGGUAAUUCCAGCUCCAAUAGCGUAUAUUAAAGUUGUUGCAGUUAAAAAGCUCGUAGUUGAACCUUGGGCCUGGCUGGCCGGUCCGCCUCACCGCGUGUACUGGUCCGGCCGGGCCUUUCUUUCUGGAGAUCCCCAUGUCCUUCACUGGGUGUGGCGGGGAACCAGGACUUUUACUGAGAAAAAAUUAGAGUGUUCAAAGCAGGCCUUUGCUCGAAUAUUCCAGCUUGGAAUAAUAGAAUAGGACGUGCGGUUCUAUUUUGUUGGUUUCUAGGACCGCCGUAAUGAUUAAUAGGGAUAGUCGGGGGCAUCAGUAUUCAAUUGUCAGAGGUGAAAUUCUUGGAUUUAUUGAAGACUAACUACUGCGAAAGCAUUUGCCAAGGAUGUUUUCAUUAAUCAGUGAACGAAAGUUAGGGGAUCGAAGACGAUCAGAUACCGUCGUAGUCUUAACCGUAAACUAUGCCGACUAGGGAUCGGGCG